rnacentral:rRNA from 1 species
CAGAGGGUGCAAACGUUGUUCGGAAUUACUGGGCGUAAAGCGCGUGUAGGCGGUUAUGCAAGUCGGGUGUGAAAGCCCAGGGCUCAACCCUGGAAGUGCAUUCGAUACUGCGUAGCUAGAGUACUGGAGAGGAUGGUGGAACUCUCGGUGUAGAGGUGAAAUUCGUAGAUAUCGAGAAGAACACCGGUGGCGAAGGCGGCCAUCUGGACAGAUACUGACGCUGAGACGCGAAAAGCGUGGGGAGCAAACAGGAUUAGAUACCCUGGUAGUCCACGCCGUAAACGAUGGGUGCUAGGUGUCACGGGUAUUGACCCCUGUGGUGCCGAAGCUAACGCAUUAAGCACCCCGCCUGGGAAGUACGGCCGCAAGGCUA